rnacentral:rRNA from 1 species
UGGGGAAUAUUGCACAAUAGGGCAAAAGACCUGAUGCAGCAACGCCGCGUGAGCGAAGAAGGUCUUCGGAUCGUAAAGCUCUGUCCUUGGGGAAGAAAAUGACGGUACCUGACUAAGAAGCACCGGCUAAAUACGUGCCAGCAGCCGCGGUAAUACGUAUGGUGCAAGCGUUAUCCGGAUUUACUGGGUGUAAAGGGAGCGUAGACGGCUGUGUAAGUCUGAAGUGAAAGCCCGGGGCUCAACCCCGGGACUGCUUUGGAAACUAUGCAGCUAGAGUGUCGGAGAGGUAAGUGGAAUUCCCAGUGUAGCGGUGAAAUGCGUAGAUAUUGGGAGGAACACCAGUGGCGAAGGCGGCUUACUGGACGAUGACUGACGUUGAGGCUCGAAAGCGUGGGGAGCAAACAGGAUUAGAUA